rnacentral:rRNA from 1 species
AGCGGCGAACGGGUGAGUAACACGUAGGUGAUCUGCCCAUCAGACGGGGACAACGAUUGGAAACGAUCGCUAAUACCGGAUAGGACGAAGGUUUAAAGGUGCUUCUGGCACCGCUGAUGGAUGAGCCUGCGGCGCAUUAGCUAGUUGGUAGGGUAAAGGCCUACCAAGGCGACGAUGCGUAGCCGACCUGAGAGGGUGAACGGCCACACUGGGACUGAGACACGGCCCAGACUCCUACGGGAGGCAGCAGUAGGGAAUCUUCGGCAAUGGGCGAAAGCCUGACCGAGCAACGCCGCGUGAAUGAUGAAGGCCUUCGGGUUGUAAAAUUCUGUUAUAAGGGAAGAACGACUUUAGUAGGAAAUGGCUAGAGUGUGACGGUACCUUAUGAGAAAGCCACGGCUAACUACGUGCCAGCAGCCGCGGUAAUACGUAGGUGGCGAGCGUUAUCCGGAAUUAUUGGGCGUAAAGAGCGCGCAGGUGGUUGAUUAAGUCUGAUGUGAAAGCCCACGGCUUAACCGUGGAGGGUCAUUGGAAACUGGUCGACUUGAGUGCAGAAGAGGGAAGUGGAAUUCCAUGUGUAGCGGUGAAAUGCGUAGAGAUAUGGAGGAACACCAGUGGCGAAGGCGGCUCCCUGGUCUGUAACUGACACUGAGGCGCGAAAGCGUGGGGAGCAAACAGGAUUAGAUACCCUGGUAGUCCACGCCGUAAACGAUGAGUGCUAAGUGU